UAUCCUCUAUUCCUCCAACGGCUAGCUUAUUCCAACCGUUCAGAUUUGUUGACCGUUUAAAUUCCCAGACUCAAAUUUAAAUUCUCGUUUGGAAAAUAUAGACGUACCCAAUUAUAUCCCAGUUGAGAAUUUCUCAAAUCUUCCUCCUCCUCUUUCUUCUUCGUCACUAUCAUUCUGUUCCUACUCAAUUCGUGGAUGCCUUCUAACAAGUCCUUGCCAUCAGUGGCAUCAAAUUCAAACCCUAGCCAGCCCUAGGAAGAGUUUUACCGGAAACCCAUUCUCUAAGCCCUCCCUAGUCGCAAACCCUACUAGUUCUAGAUCCGUUUUCCCCGACACUCCCGCCAACAGUCCUUCAGAUUUUCAGGUAAGGAAACAGUGUUGCGGGCAGAGAAAGUGGGGGGUCUUUGCGGUACGUUGAUGACAAAGAAAAAAUGGGAAAGAUCAGACAUUGAAGCCCGGGAAGGUUCGAUCACCAGCUGCUUGCUUGAAGGGCUCAAAGAAUUUCAUGUCUCCGACCAUCUCUGCUUCCUGCAUUGAAUCUCCGAGGAAAAAGAGUGCUGAUUGAGAGGAAUGGGCCAGUUCCGGAUUCUGUUCCAUCUUCAGAGGCCAAAUGUACGUUCGCAAGGUAACCCUUGGAAUGUGGUGGCUUGCAAUCAGACCACCUUUGAUGGGGUUCCAAAUUUUGAGGAAUCACAUAGUAGCCGCUCUAGUUUGACAUCUGAGGAAGAUUUGAGUGAUGAAAGUGAAACUGUCCAUGAUAUCAGUGUUCCUUUGGUUCCAAAUAAUGACACUGAUGUGUCAUUUGAGGCUGAACAUGAUCUGAAUGUUCCUUUGGUUCUAGAGGAUGAUAAAAUUGAGACAGAACCUUCAUUUGAAACUGUUUUCCCUCGAUCUCCAGAACCAUCUUAGCUCCUCUUGAUGCCACCUUACGAUCCUAAAACAAACUAUUUCUUCAUUACAAACCUAGACCAAGGACGGAACUCUGCAGUGAGAGUAUCAUAUCUGGAAGCAGAGGAGGUCUCUUCGGAUGAGGCAGUUAUGGAGGAAGAAAGCCAAAGUUCUGAUGAACCAAGAAGUCCUGCUGAGGGAACCAUUGAAGCCAAGCCUAAGCGCCGCUUCUCUAUGAAAUCAUUGGCUUUUUGGUCUGAUUAUUCUCCUCUCAUUUGCUGUUCUCUCCAUCUCAGUCGUCAAUUCUCCGGUGGUUCAUCAUACAGUGUUUGACAUGUAUGAGGCUUAUGAAGCGUCUGAACUUAGAUUUUGCAAGGGCCAACUUUGAUCAAUUCACCCAGUUUGCAAAAAAGCAUAAUUUCGAUUUUUGAUAUCUGAGCUUUGAUCAGAAUCUCCAUAUCCGGUUUAUUAAGUCCUUAACAUCAAUAUCUGAGCCCAGUUGCAAUACAACUUGACCGUUGUUGAUGCUGAAAUCCAAUCAACAGUACUUCACAUUCAAGAAAGUGAAGUCAUCUCAGAGAUUGAUGCUGAUGAUGAGGAUGAUAAGGUGAAGAUAUUUCAGAAGAGCAUUAUGAUUAUAUGAAGAACAAAUUCAGCAAGAAUUGGGAAAUUCAGAUGCUCCACAACCAGAGCAGUCUUUGCAGUUCUGAAGUAGAAAUUUCAGAAGCAAUGCAUGCACAAGAAGAGGAUGCUCACUUCUUCGGGUUUUUCUUUCCUCUUUCACUAGGAGAUGGUGCCAGGUUCAAUAUUGAAAAACCUUAACGAAGGUCUAGAGAAUUUGCCUAGUUUAGGCUCAGAAGUUGAAAAAAUUCAUGCUGAAAGUCUAUAUGAUGAAGAAGCAGAGGGAAGUUAUGCAAACAGUAGAUGCUGCAAUCACCAGGAAUGAAAGGAGAUCUGAAACAACAUAACUCCACGUAUCAAUGCUAUAUUUGCUGCUCUGUGGAGGUGCACCUAUUUACUCUUGUAUCUUUCAACUUUUCAAGGAAAGGUAAAAUCGGAAGCAACCAGAUCUGUGGAGCAACCUUUGAUUGGUAAGGAGUUGCAUGCCAACAACUCAUUGCAAACUCUG